rfam:Salmo salar isolate Sally breed double haploid chromosome ssa21, whole genome shotgun sequence.
UGCAUUCACUACUGUAAGUCACUCUGGAUAAGAGCGUCUGCUAAAUGUAAAUGU